rnacentral:rRNA from 1 species
ACCGUAGGGUGCGAUCGUUAAUCGGAAUUACUGGGCGUAAAGCGUGCGCAGGCGGCUGUGCAAGACAGAUGUGAAAUCCCCGGGCUUAACCUGGGAACUGCAUUUGUGACUGCACGGCUAGAGUACGGCAGAGGGGGAUGGAAUUCCGCGUGUAGCAGUGAAAUGCGUAGAUAUGCGGAGGAACACCGAUGGCGAAGGCAGUCCCCUGGGCUUGUACUGACGCUCAUGCACGAAAGCGUGGGGAGAAAACAGG